rnacentral:tRNA from 1 species
UCCCGUGUGGCUCAGUUGGUAGAGCAUGGUGUUUGCAACACCAGGGUUGUGGGUUCGAUUCCCACUGGGGAC